rnacentral:rRNA from 1 species
UACGGGGGGGGUAAGCGUUGUUCGGAAUUACUGGGCGUAAAGGGCUCGUAGGCGGCCAACUAAGUCGGACGUGAAAUCCCUCAGCUUAACUGGGGAACUGCGUCCGAUACUGGAUGGCUUGAGAUCGGGAGAGGGAUGCGGAAUUCCAGGUGUAGCGGUGAAAUGCGUAGAUAUCUGGAGGAACACCGGUGGCGAAGGCGGCAUCCUGGACCGACACUGACACUGAGGAGCGAAAGCCAGGGGAGCAAACGGG